CCUUGCCUCUCUGGUGCUCCAGUUUCCCAGUGGAACCCCUAUCCCACAAGAUCAUAGCAGGGAUCACAAAGGGUUUUCAGAUCCAGAAAUCUCAGUAUUUAGAAAUAUUGCUUCUGAAACACCAGAAGUACAAUCCAGUGUAUCAUAAAAACUAUAAAGUAUGUCCUAAGGACAUAGUGAACCAUCUGAGACAAUGGUGCAUUGGAAGCAUCAGUAGGAAACCUCAGUGGAUGCUUAGUAACUAAAGAUAUCGAUGAAAUAAUUUAAUGAUAUCUACAGCUAGCAUAAGAAGCACAAGAAGCUGCAACAAGGCUAUUUUUUCCAUGAGAAUGCCACCCCAAUUCCUUCUACCAACCCACUUUAUGAAGAGGAGUGAUUUGGCAGAUCUCUUGAAAAAAGAGACUAAACAACUCCUGAGUCGUAUUGCCAUGGAGAUACAAACACAAACAGAGCACCUCCUGCUGCUUACACAAGCUCCAAGGCACCAUACACCAAGAGAUGUAACAGACCCAGGAGCUCAGGCUUGAGUGUCAUCAUGCUAGCAGCUGGACUGACAAAAUCAGAUGCAGAGUGUAUGCAGUGUUUACUGAGAGCUGGAAGGUUAUAUGUCAAAUCUGAAAUUUCAGGUGACAGUGAAGUCCCCUCCCCAUGGAUACAUGGAUGUAAUGGAUACAAAGAAACAGGAUCUGAGCAGAAAUACAGCCAGAAACAGAAAACAGACAUGAACUGGGAACCAAUGGAAAAUCCACAGAUACCCAGAGAAUGGAUACUAGUAUGUUCCAAGCAGUUCACCCGCAAGCAGCUUUACCCACAGGGGCACACCAAGAAGCAUCCACACCCUUUCCAGUUCAAUCUGUCAUACGGCACACCAGAGCUCAGCUGCAUGACUAUAACACAGCUUACCUCAACUAAGCUGGCAGGCCGUGCCUGUCUAAUUAUAUACCUUUAACCAGCAGCAAACACAAGUUAAUUCAAAUUUCUUCAAAGAAAUCAGAUAAAGCCAAAUGAAAUUACAUUCCAUUUACCACAUGAGUGCACACAUCACCCAUUGCCACCACUAAACCCAUCAGCGUAACUCAUAGAAACUUGACUCCUCUGAAGACAGGUGUUCAACACUGCUAAAAGGUUUGAUUCUUUAGAGACUUCAGACAAACCCAAAUCCCCUCCAUUCAUCCCGCAGACCCCACCAGCUUUCUCUCUCUUUUUCCUGGAUGUCCCCAUAUCCACCUUUUUUCUAUGUCCCAUUUCUUCUCUCACUACUAUUCAUCCCCUACCCUACUAAUUCCCACUUUUCUGGUCUGUUGGGAUGGAGAAAUAGCAUGUGCCACUUGGCCAUUAGGAGUAAAGGAAGAUGACACAGAGAACAAGUAGGUCUGACCCAGGACAGCAUAACGAGACUCCUGAGCAGCUGUAGUGCACCUUUGGUUUGUGCAGCAGGCACUCAAGGGAUGUCUCUACCACCAGUGGGUCACAUACACAACCCAGACAGUCUAAAGAUAGUUUUUUUCCAACUAAUCUACUCUGGAGGUGUAAAAUGUACAUGUAAUUACAAUCAGAUGUUGAUAAAAAGUUUUAUAUAUGUCCAAUACCAUUAUAGUGAAAGGACCCAGGCUUCAGGUUUGGAUACCUGCUGAACUGGAGCCUUCUUGAACAGAGAUAAAAUUUGCAGUCUAAUUUGGUAAAUGCUUGUUUAAAUUGUAUGUAGUUACAGUGAUGUACAAAGGGCAAUAAAAUUAAUUUCCCUAUUUAACA
rnacentral:lncRNA from 1 species